GAUGAACGCUGGCGGCGUGCCUAAUACAUGCAAGUCGAGCGAACAGACGAGGAGCUUGCUCCUCUGACGUUAGCGGCGGACGGGUGAGUAACACGUGGAUAACCUACCUAUAAGACUGGGAUAACUUCGGGAAACCGGAGCUAAUACCGGAUAACAUGUUGAACCGCAUGGUUCAACAGUGAAAGACGGUCUUGCUGUCACUUAUAGAUGGAUCCGCGCCGCAUUAGCUAGUUGGUAAGGUAACGGCUUACCAAGGCAACGAUGCGUAGCCGACCUGAGAGGGUGAUCGGCCACACUGGAACUGAGACACGGUCCAGACUCCUACGGGAGGCAGCAGUAGGGAAUCUUCCGCAAUGGGCGAAAGCCUGACGGAGCAACGCCGCGUGAGAGAAGAAGGUCUUCGGAUCGUAAAACUCUGUUAUUAGGGAAGAACAAAUGUGUAAGUAACUAUGCACGUCUUGACGGUACCUAAUCAGAAAGCCACGGCUAACUACGUG
rnacentral:rRNA from 1 species